rnacentral:rRNA from 1 species
UACGUAGGGUGCGAGCGUUGUCCGGAAUUAUUGGGCGUAAAGAGCUCGUAGGCGGUGUGUCGCGUCGGCCGUGAAAACCUGGGGCUCAACUCUGGGCGUGCGGUCGAUACGGGCAUCACUUGAGUUCGGCAGGGGAGACUGGAAUUCCUGGUGUAGCGGUGAAAUGCGCAGAUAUCAGGAGGAACACCGGUGGCGAAGGCGGUCUGCUGGG